rnacentral:rRNA from 1 species
AUGGCACCGGUCCAUCAUCGUCGCUCAGCCACUCCGCCAUCAUCAGAGGAUAGCUCCAGCUGGGAGGCUACACCGCGGCGGCGGCGCAGUCCCCGACAUAGUGUAGUGCGCGUGGCAUCCCUGUUGGGUGUGCGCGAAACACCCACCACACGCUCCGCCGCCGGUGCCCGUCGGCAGCUGCUGCCGGCUGCCGUUGCUGCCACACCACCGUCGAAAGCCAGGGUCAUCGCCCGCUCCGCUACCACGGCCCAAAGGCGGGAGAUGGUCAUCGAGGCCGCCACCCAACUGUUGGCCACUGUGGCCAUCACCCGCUCCGCCACCGCGACCCGAAGGCGGGAGGUGGUGGUUGUGGCCGCCACCCCGUCGUCGGCCGCCGUGACCGCCAGCCCACCGUCUAUCGCCAGGGUCAUCACCCGCUCCGCCACCAUCGCCCAAAGGCGGGAGGCGGAGGUGGAUGCCCGCACGUGUGACAACGACCUUGCGUGCUACACCGAGUUCCUGCGGGAGGAGGAGGAGCACCUCGUCGAGCACACAAAGAGCCUUACCACCGCAGUGGCCGCAGUACACGCCGCCUCAGAGGCGAGGAAUCAGAAGAUCUAUGAGGAGAACCACCGCUUCGAGAGGGGUUGUCUGGAGUGGCAGAGAGCGUUCGAGGUGAGUGUCGCUGAAGCUGCAUUAGCGGCAGGCACCGCACUGCGAUUGCCCAGCUCGUCAGUAGGCUCCUCCUCCGCCGCCUCUUACUAA